rnacentral:rRNA from 1 species
UUAUUAAGGGCUUAUGUGGGAUUGCUUGGCAUUUAAGAUCGAUGAAGGGCGUGGAAACUGACGAUAUGCUUUGGGGAGUUAGAAUCAAAUUUUGAUCCAAAGAUUCCCGAAUGAGGCAACUUGUUUAGUAUUAAAAUAUUAAUGUAUAGAUAUUAUUUUACAGAUAACUCAGUGAACUGAAACAUCUUAGUAACUGAAGGAAAAGAAAGCAAAUGCGAUUUCCUUAUUAGUGGCGAACUAAUUGGAAUUAGUCUAAACCUUAUUAUAGGUGUUGUUGGGAUAUUUUUUGAUUUAAUUUAUUUUUAAAUAAAGAAUUUGUUAGUUACAAAACCAUAGAAGGUUAUUAGUCUUGUAUUUAUUUAAAUAUUUAAAUAGUUAUUUUCCCGAGUAGUAUAGAACACGUGUAAUUCUGUAUGAAUCUGCGAGGACCAUUUCGUAAGACUAAAUAUUUUAAAUGACCGAUAGUGAAUUAGUACCGUGAGGGAAAGCUGAAAAGAACACUGAGAAGUGAGUGAAAUAGAAUAUGAAAACAUAAGCUUACAAACAGUAGGAGGUUUUAAUAAAAAUUCUGACUAUGUGCCUGUUGAAGAAUGAGCCGGCGACUUAUAAGUAGUGGCAAGGUUAAGGAAUUUUAUUCUGAAGCCUUAGAGAAAUCGAGUUUUAAUAAAGCUUUUAUAAUUUUGUUAUUUUAAUUUAUUUAAUUAUAAUGUCAUUUUUUAUAGACCCGAACCCAGGUGAUCUAAUCAUUGUCAGGUUGAAAUUUCUUUAAAAGGUAAUGGAGGACCGAACUCACCAAUGUUGAAAAAUUGGGAGAUGAACAAUGAUUAGUGAAGAAAUUUCAAUCGAACUUGGAGAUAGCUGGAUCUCUCCGAAAUGCGUUGAGGCGCAGCAUUUAAUUAUGUUUAAUAUAGGGGUAAAGCACUGUUUCUAUGAAGGUUAUGAAAAUAAUACUAAGUGGUGGCAAACUUUGAAUACUAUAUUUUAUUACAAUUAAUUAGUGAGACAGUGGGGGAUAAGCUUCAUUGUCGAGAGGGAAAUAGCCCAGAUCACUAUUUAAGGCCCUUAAAUAAUUACUAAGUGAUAAAGGAUGUGAAUUUAUUUAGACAACUAGGAGGUUGGCUUAGAAGCAGCAAUUCCUUUAAAAAGUGCGUAAUAGCUUACUAGUUAAAUGAAUUUGCGCCAAAAAUGAAUGGGACUAAGUAAUUUGCCGAAAAUGUGGGAAUUAUAAUCGGUAGGAGAGCGUUCUAUUUUGAAUGGAAGUAAUAACGUAAGUAAUUAUAGAUUAAAUAGAAGUGAGAAUGUCGGUUUGAGUAACGAAAACAUUGGUGAAAAUCUAAUGCUCCGAAAAUCUAAGGGUUCCUUAGCUAGGUUCGUCCUCUGAGGGUUAAUCAGGUCCUAAAAUGAAGUCUAAAGAUGUAAUUUGAUGGUAAACAGGUUAAUAUUCCUGUAUCAAUUUUAAUAAUAUAAAAAAAAGUUACGAAAAAGGCUAAGUCAUCCAUAAUUUGGUUUAGUAAUGUAAAAAUUUUGAUAAAUUAAUUUAAUUAUGUUUUAUUAGUAUUGAAAAUAUGAGUUUGGCGAAGUAUAUACUAUAAUGAAAUUUUUAUUUUUAUAAAUUUGUAAUUUUUGAUUUGAAGUAUUAUGAAUAUUAAUAAAUUAUUUUGUGAUUUAUUUUUGUUUUUGCAUUAUUUUUUAUGGUUCAACUGUCUGAGAUGUUGAAAAAUAUUAUAAAAAAUAUUUGAGUUUAGGUUGGAGUACGAUUAGUAUUAUGAUAUUAAAAGUGAUGUAUGUCAUGUUUCCGAGAAAAGCUUUUGUUUUUAAAAUUUUAAAUUGCCUGUACCAUAAACUGACACAAGUGGAUUGGUUGAGUAUACUAAGGAGCUCGGGAUAAUUCUUUCUAAGGAACUCGGCAAAAUAACUUUGUAACUUAGGGAUAAAAAGUACCUUUAAAAGAGGUCUCAGAAAAAAGGUCCAAGCGACUGCUUAACAAAAGCACAAGUCUCCGCGAAGUUGAAAUACGAUGUAUGGGGGCUGAGGCCUGCUCAGUGCAGGAAGGUUAAAGAAAUUGGUUAGCGUUAGCAAAGCUAGUAACUGAAGCCCCUGUGAACAGCGGCAAUAACUAUAAUUGUCCUAAGGUAGCGAAAUUCCUUGUCGGGUAAGUUCCGACCCGCACGAAAGGUUUAACGAUUUGGACGCUGUCUCAGAAAGAAACUCGGUGAAAUAGAAUUGACUGUGAAGAUGCGGUCUACUUGCACUUGGACAGAAAGACCCUAUGAAGCUUUACUGUAACUUGAUAUUGAUUUUGAGUUUUACUUGCGCAGAAUAAGUGGGAGGCUAUGAUAUUAUUUUUAGGGAUAAUUUGAGCUGUAAUAUGAGAUACCACUCUAGAUGGACUAAAAAUCUAAUAUUUAAUCUUAUUUUGAAUUAAGUUGAUAGACAAUUUCAAGUGGACAGUUUUACUGGGGCGGUAGCCUCCUAAAAGGUAACGGAGGCGUACAAAGGUUUUUUCAAUUUAUAUGGUAAUUAAAUAUAGAGCGUAAAGGUAUAAAAAAGCUUGACUGUAAGACAUAUAAGUCGAACAGGGAUUAAAGUCGGUCUUAAUGAUCCGGCGAUACUGGAUGGAAAGGUCGUCGCAAACAGAUAAAAGUUACUCUAGGGAUAACAGGCUGAUCUCCCCCAAGAGUUCAUAUCGACGGGGAGGUUUGGCACCUCGAUGUCGGCUCAUCGCAACCUGGAGCGGUAGUUUGUUUCAAGGGUUGGGCUGUUCGCCCAUUAAAGCGGUACGUGAGCUGGGUUCAGAACGUCGAGAGACAGUUCGGUCCAUAUCCGGUGUGAGCGUUAGAGUAUUGAAAGGAUUUUUUCUUAGUACGAGAGGACCAGAAAAAACAUACCUAUGGUAUACCAGUUUUUGUACCAGCAGAAUAUGCUGGGUAGCUACGUAUGGAGUGGAUAACUGCUGAAAGCAUAUAAGUAGGAAGCCUACCUUAAGAUAAGUACUCUUUAAUAGAUUAUGGUAAAAUUAACCGUUAGAUAGGUAUUAGGUAUAAAAAUAGUGAUAUUUAGCUGAGAUAUACUAAUAAAUCGAAAA